rnacentral:rRNA from 1 species
GUAGUCCACGCCGUAAACGAUGGAUACUAGCUGUUCGGUAGCAAUACUGAGUGGCUAAGCGAAAGUGAUAAGUAUCCCACCUGGGGAGUACGGGCGCAAGCCUGAAACUCAAAGGAAUUGACGGGGGCCCGCACAAGCGGUGGAGCAUGUGGUUUAAUUCGAUGAUACGCGAGGAACCUUACCAAGGCUUAAAUGUAGAUUGACAGGACUGGAAACAGUUUUUUCUUCGGACAAUUUACAAGGUGCUGCAUGGUUGUCGUCAGCUCGUGCCGUGAGGUGUCAGGUUAAGUCCUAUAACGAGCGCAACCCCUGUUGUUAGUUGCCAGCGAGUCAUGUCGGGAACUCUAGCAAGACUGCCAGUGCAAACUGUGA